rnacentral:tRNA from 1 species
GGCUUGGUAGUUUAAGUUAAGACACUAGAUUGCAAAUUUAGAGAUGUAAAUAAUACUCAAGCUU